UAUUGUUCUUCAACGAGGAAUUCCUAGUAAGCGUGAGUCAUCAGCUCGCGUUGAUUACGUCCCUGCCCUUUGUACACACCGCCCGUCGCUACUACCGAUUGAAUGGUUUAGUGAGACCCUCGGAUCGGCGUCCGGCAGCUGGCAACAGCAGCUGGUUGCUGAGAAGUUCGUCAAACUUGGUCAUUUAGAGGAAGUAAAAGUCGUAACAAGGUUUCCGUAGGUGAACCUGCGGAAGGAUCAUCAUCGAAUUCAUAUCCCCCUCCUCUCCCGGAGGGGGACCCAUGAUAAACCCUUGUGCACCGUAAACCGUUCACUUUGGCAGGCUUUGGUGGUGAGCGUGAGCUCGCCUCCAACUUCGCGUUCCCUCCCUCAAGGGCGUUACGCAUGGCGGCCUGCCGGAGUCUUCCCAUUAAAAACACGUUUUCGAACACGUCUGAAAAUUUCCUUUGAGAAAUCAAAGAACCGAAAACAACUUUCAACAACGGAUCUCUUGGCUCUCGCAUCGAUGAAGAACGCAGCGAAAUGCGAUAAGUAUUGUGAAUUGCAGAAUUCAGUGAAUCAUCGAAUCUUUGAACGCACAUUGCACUCCCUGGUAUUCCGGGGAGUACGUUCGUUCGAGCGUCAUGUAAAUUCUCGGAUGUCCCGUAUCGCGCGGUUCAUUCCGGCCUUGGGCGCCUCCCGGUCCGCCGACUCCGGUGGGUCAGGUCGCCUGAAAUUAAACAGCGACGGUUCGCGAAUCCGCGACCGGCCACGGCGUAUUACGUUGGGCCUGCCCGACAAACCUUCGCCUAUGUUGCCAACGCAGCUCCGACGUCGUUAUCGCAGAAACGUUUGUUGUGACUUCCCUCUCCAGGGUUGACAUGACGCACUUCACUUGACCUCGAAUCGAAUGAGACUACCGGCCGAAUUUAAGCAUAUUAAUCAGCCGAGGAAAAGAAACUAACAAGGAUUCCCUCAGUAACUGCGAGUGAAGCGGGAAGAGCUCAAAUUUUAAAUCCUGUCGGCGUGCCGGCACGAGUUGUAGUUUAAAGAAGCAUUUUCGGCGUCCGUCUGGGUACAACUCCUUUGGAACAGGGGAUCACAGAGGGUGAGAAUCCCGUCCGUGACCCGGAUCCGUCGCUAUGUGAUAUGCUCUCGAAGAGUCGAGUUGUUUGGGAUUGCAGCUCAAAGCGGGAGGUAUAUUUCUCCUAAGGCUAAAUAUAGGCGAGAGACCGAUAGCGAACAAGUACCGUGAGGGAAAGAUGAAAAGAACUUUGAAAAGAGAGUUAAACAGUACGUGAAAUUGUUGAAAGGGAAACGCUUGAAACCAGUCAUGCUGGCGUGAAAUCAGCCGUGUCGGAGGUCGCGUGCUUGGUAUCGGGAGGGUAACCCCCGUGCUAUGUUCGGCGUCCGUCGUUACGGUGCACUUUCGCGCACGCAGGUCAGCGUCAGCUUCGAUCGCGGGAAAACAACCUCGGGAAGGUGAUCAUCGGUUCGCCGGUGGUGUUAUAGCCCUUGGUCCAUACCGCGUGUCGGGGCUGAGGAUCGCAGCGCACGCUUUCGGGCUUCGCGCCUGGAGACUGGUCGUCGCCGGACGGCAGACAGCUUGCUGACUGUCGACUGAACGUCGCCCAACUCUCUAGACCGACGAUAUGUGCGCUUAGGAUGCUGACGUAAUGGUUUUAAACGACCCGUCUUGAAACACGGACCAAGGAGUCUAACAUGUAUGCGAGUGUU
rnacentral:rRNA from 1 species